GCAACGUCCUCUACCACGGCCUGGCCCCCAAAGGUGAGUUGGAGCUGCAGGAGCUGCAGGCCCGCCGGGAGCAGCGGCUGCAGGUGAGGGCGGAGCGGCGCCGGGAGCAGGAGCAGAACCUGCAGCGGAAACGGCAGCAGCGCGAGCGGCACAGGGAGCGCAGCCUGGCCGGGAUGCGCCGGGCCGCAGGUGGCCCAGGUGGCCCAGGUGGUGGCCCAGGUGGCCCAGGUGGCCCAGGUGGCCCGGGUGGUGGCCCGGGUGGCCCAGCAGGUGACAGCGACGCCGAGGACCCCGGCGCACCUGAGGCAGGUGAGGCGGAGCCGUCGGACGAGGACGAGGCCGAGUAUUACAGACAGGAGCUGGGGGAGGAG